rnacentral:rRNA from 1 species
GCAGCAGCCACGGUAAUACGAGGGGGGCAAGCGUUGUUCGGAAUUAUUGGGCGUAAAGGGUGCGUAGGCGGCUUGACAAGUCUUGUGUGAAAUCUAUGGGCUCAACCCAUAGUCUGCACGGGAAACUGUCGGGCUUGAGAAUGGGAGAGGUGAGUGGAAUUUCCGGUGUAGCGGUGAAAUGCGUAGAUAUCGGAAGGAACACCUGUGGCGAAAGCGGCUCACUGGACCAUUUCUGACGCUGAUGCACGAAAGCUAGGGGAGCAAACAGGAUUAGAUACCCCCGUAGUCCCUGUCUCUUAUAC